UCCAGGUAAAGAGCUGACUGCCCAUGGACAGGGGCUGGAGAAGCAAACUUCAAGCAGAUGAAGUUGGCUGAAUAAAGAAUGGAGAGGUUAUCAUGCAAGCAUAACAAGUCUUCAAGUCAUAUUCCUGUAACUCAUACACGGAAGUCUGGGAGAAGAAUAGUUAUCUGAAGUCAGCAAAGAGUAGAAAAGAAGAUCUCAAAAGGGAAUUUGGGAAAUCUAGCAGAUUCUAUCAAACUGGAGGUUACACAAAGUGUAUCUGCUCUCUGGCCUUCUACCUCCUCCAUCUCUUUUGCCUUGGCCACCCCUGAGACAGCAAGACCAACCCUUCCUCUUCUUCCUCCUCCUCCUCAGCCUAUUCAAUGUGAAAAUGACAAGGAUGUAGACCUUUAUGAUGAUCCACUUCCACUUAAUGAAGGACCAACCAGAUGAUCUAUCUUAUUAAAUCUAUUUCAUGGAGAAUGAAGAGCUUCCUGGAGUCCCCAUCUAGUCUCAGAUCCUGCUUGACUAUCCAUUUUCUGCAGAAGGAGACAAUUUUUGCUCUUGUGACAGUGUCAUUUU